rnacentral:rRNA from 1 species
AGAGUUUGAUCCUGGCUCAGGACGAACGCUGGCGGCGCGCCUAACACAUGCAAGUCGAACGAGCGAGAGAGAGCUUGCUUUCUCGAGCGAGUGGCGAACGGGUGAGUAACGCGUGAGGAACCUGCCUCAAAGAGGGGGACAACAGUUGGAAACGACUGCUAAUACCGCAUAAGCCCACGGGUCGGCAUCGACCAGAGGGAAAAGGAGCAAUCCGCUUUGAGAUGGCCUCGCGUCCGAUUAGCUAGUUGGUGAGGUAACGGCCCACCAAGGCGACGAUCGGUAGCCGGACUGAGAGGUUGAACGGCCACAUUGGGACUGAGACACGGCCCAGACUCCUACGGGAGGCAGCAGUGGGGAAUAUUGCACAAUGGGGGAAACCCUGAUGCAGCGACGCCGCGUGGAGGAAGAAGGUCUUCGGAUUGUAAACUCCUGUUGUUGAGGAAGAUAAUGACGGUACUCAACAAGGAAGUGACGGCUAACUACGUGCCAGCAGCCGCGGUAAAACGUAGGUCACAAGCGUUGUCCGGAAUUACUGGGUGUAAAGGGAGCGCAGGCGGGAAGACAAGUUGGAAGUGAAAUCUAUGGGCUCAACCCAUAAACUGCUUUCAAAACUGUUUUUCUUGAGUAGUGCAGAGGUAGGCGGAAUUCCCGGUGUAGCGGUGGAAUGCGUAGAUAUCGGGAGGAACACCAGUGGCGAAGGCGGCCUACUGGGCACCAACUGACGCUGAGGCUCGAAAGUGUGGGUAGCAAACAGGAUUAGAUACCCUGGUAGUCCACACCGUAAACGAUGAUUACUAGGUGUUGGAGGAUUGACCCCUUCAGUGCCGCAGUUAACACAAUAAGUAAUCCACCUGGGGAGUACGACCGCAAGGUUGAAACUCAAAGGA